rnacentral:rRNA from 1 species
CUGGGAUAACUCCGGGAAACCGGGGCUAAUACCGGAUGGUUGUCUGGACCGCAUGGUUCAGACAUAAAAGGUGGCUUCGGCUACCACUUACAGAUGGACCCGCGGCGCAUUAGCUAGUUGGUGAGGUAACGGCUCACCAAGGCGACGAUGCGUAGCCGACCUGAGAGGGUGAUCGGCCACACUGGGACUGAGACACGGCCCAGACUCCUACGGGAGGCAGCAGUAGGGAAUCUUCCGCAAUGGACGAAAGUCUGACGGAGCAACGCCGCGUGAGUGAUGAAGGUUUUCGGAUCGUAAAGCUCUGUUGUUAGGGAAGAACAAGUGCCGUUCAAAUAGGGCGGCACCUUGACGGUACCUAACCAGAAAGCCACGGCUAACUACGUGCCAGCAGCCGCGGUAAUACGUAGGUGGCAAGCGUUGUCCGGAAUUAUUGGGCGUAAAGGGCUCGCAGGCGGUUUCUUAAGUCUGAUGUGAAAGCCCCCGGCUCAACCGGGGAGGGUCAUUGGAAACUGGGGAACUUGAGUGCAGAAGAGGAGAGUGGAAUUCCACGUGUAGCGGUGAAAUGCGUAGAGAUGUGGAGGAACACCAGUGGCGAAGGCGACUCUCUGGUCUGUAACUGACGCUGAGGAGCGAAAGCGUGGGGAGCGAACAGGAUUAGAUACCCUGGUAGUCCACGCCGUAAACGAUGAGUGCUAAGUGUUAGGGGGUUUCCGCCCCUUAGUGCUGCAGCUAACGCAUUAAGCACUCCGCCUGGGGAGUACGGUCGCAAGACUGAAACUCAAAGGAAUUGACGGGGGCCCGCACAAGCGGUGGAGCAUGUGGUUUAAUUCGAAGCAACGCGAAGAACCUUACCAGGUCUUGACAUCCUCUGACAAUCCUAGAGAUAGGACGUCCCCUUCGGGGGCAGAGUGACAGGUGGUGCAUGGUUGUCGUCAGCUCGUGUCGUGAGAUGUUGGGUUAAGUCCCGCAACGAGCGCAACCCUUGAUCUUAGUUGCCAGCAUUCAGUUGGGCACUCUAAGGUGACUGCCGGUGACAAACCGGAGGAAGGUGGGGAUGACGUCAAAUCAUCAUGCCCCUUAUGACCUGGGCUACACACGUGCUACAAUGGACAGAACAAAGGGCAGCGAAACCGCGAGGUUAAGCCAAUCCCACAAAU